rnacentral:tRNA from 1 species
GCCGUGAUCGUAUAGUGGUUAGUAACAUUGCGUCGUGGAUGCAAUAACCCAGGUUCGAAUCCUGGUCACGGCA